GACGAACGCUGGCGGCGUGCUUAACACAUGCAAGUCGAACGGAAAGGCCCUGCUUUUGUGGGGUGCUCGAGUGGCGAACGGGUGAGUAACACGUGAGUAACCUGCCCUUGACUUUGGGAUAACUUCAGGAAACUGGGGCUAAUACCGGAUAGGAGCUCCUGCUGCAUGGUGGGGGUUGGAAAGUUUCGGAGGUUGGGGAUGGACUCGCGGCUUAUCAGCUUGUUGGUGGGGUAGUGGCUUACCAAGGCUUUGACGGGUAGCCGGCCUGAGAGGGUGACCGGACACAUUGGGACUGAGAUACGGCCCAGACUACUACGGGAGGCAGCAGUGGGGAAUAUUGCACAAUGGGCGGAAGCCUGAUGCAGCAACGCAGCGUGCGGGAUGACGGCCUUCGGGUUGUAAACCGCUUUCGCCUGUGACGAAGCGUGAGUGACGGUAAUGGGUAAAGAAGCACCGGCUAACUACGUG
rnacentral:rRNA from 1 species